ensembl:lncRNA
AAAUCAAUUACGCAGUUUAUAAUUGCACACAAUAGAGGGCUUGCAGUUGCGUCACAAACCACCUAGCAACCGCAAUUGGAGCCAUGUUGGAAGACCAAUCAGUCUGUUGGAAGUCCUCCAACUGUCCAAAAGGCUGGCUGUGUUCUGCUAUCACUGGAAACUUCGGGAAGAUUGCCCAUUAUUUUGUUUUUCUAAGGACCCAGAAAACGGAGGCAUUGGGAGAACCUAUUCAAAUAUAGAGAGCCGUGAAACCCUGCCUGCAGCUGAAGAGGUCCCAAUGAAUGUCCCAAAAGAAUAAAAGGAGCCUCCCAAGUGACGUAGCGGUCUAAGGCACUGCAUCGCAGUGCUAGAGGCGUUACUACAGACCCAGAUUUGAUCCCAGGCUGUGUCACAGCCAGCUGCGACCAGGAGACCCAUGAGGUGGCGCACAUGCACAAUUGGCCCAGUGUCAUCCAGGUUAGGGGAGGGUGUCCCAUCACGCGCUAGCAACUCCCUGUGCCAGGCCAGUAUGGUGUUUCCUCCGACACAUUGGUGCGCCUGGCUUCUGGGUUAAGUAAACAGUGUGUCAAGAACAUGUGCAGCAUGGCAGGGUUGUGUUUCGGAGGAUGCUUUCAACCUUCACCUCUCACGAGUCCGUACGGGAGUUGCAGCGAUGGGACAAGACUAACUACCAAUUUGGACAUCACAAAAAAGGGGUGUUGCUGUGGUAGCUGUUGAGCGAGCAAGAGAGAGGGAGGGUAGAAGUGUUUACUGUGCAGUAUGCCAUGGCGACAGUGCAGUAGCUCAUGGUGUACAGACAGGCCCUCUGCGUGUGGUGUUCUGCAGCAUCAGCAUUCGGACAGGGGCCAGACGCUCGAUUUAUGGUGCCAGGGAGCGGAAAUGACCUGCUUCUGUCAUUGGGUGUAUGCCCCAUCACGAGAGGCCCUAAACUAUAUUGGCACAGCUCUGACAGACAUGUUUGUCAUCUAGUCAUCUUUGAAGAUACCAAGCAAGCAGUAUUAUUGAUUUGACAAGCUCCAGCUAUCUCUCUAGGUGCACACUGUUCCUGUCUCUCCAGCCCACACCACCCUGCCUGAGAGGCAUCCCUGUGGAUCCCACGUUGGUAUGAUUAAUUCCAUAAUUUCUAUGGUUUACACUAUAUUCAACGGAAAUACAGUAACAUAUCCUAUUAAGUUUAAAAGGAAUCAGAAUUCCUGUACAUGCAUAAGCAAACUCUUCCUCGUUGAUUAGUUCUCAUUAAUGAUUUCAACAGUCAUUUAUGCAUUUUGUAUGCCACCUUACCUGCUAUAUAAUUACCUAUACUAUCUGUAUGACGUUUUGAUUUAUUUUGAGUGUGCUACAAUGGACCGCAGACUCGUACGAGAGAGUGAUUCCAUGCUCCUCUGACGCAUGAACCUUCUGGUAGUGUUGCAUGAACAGUGACACCUUCUGGCACUCCCUAAACACAAUCCAAACAAGUUAAAUGUGUACAAAAGUUCACCCUAAUCAUAGAGCAUAGUAAAACCAAUUGAUUUCUUAUGUGUAAUUAUUUAAUUGUGUAAUUAAUGAAUGGAAGAUGAAUAAAUACUUAUAUGUAGUGAGUUAGUUCAGCCUUGAGAUGUGAAAUAUUAGUUAAUCUUAUUUAUUUGUUUUACCUUUUAUUUAACUAGGCAAGUCAGUUAAGAACAAAUUCUUAUUUUAAAUGAUGGCCUAGGACAGAUGUUUACCUUGUCAGCUCGGGGAUUCAAUCUUGCAACCUUUCGGUUACUAGUCCAACGCUCUAACCACUAGACUACCUGCCGCCCCUUAUGUCUUACAUUUUGUGAUGAAUAACAAUGGGAUUAUACACAUGUCAAUCACAUCUAAGAGCUACACCACUGACUGAAACACAUCAAACACUUUGUCACCAGGUAUUUCUCAUCCAAAUAUAUCAAGAGCAGAAUAACGUUUUACCAUUUAGUAGCCUAAACCCAUACCCUGGAGACAAUACACCACAGCUUUCAUUAUCCAAUCACAAACUCAUAUGUUUCCCUUUGUCAGAUGAUGUAAAUGUGAUUCCUUUUAAUUAUGGCCAUUGACUGGAAACUCCAAAUUAAUUUGAUUACGUUUUGCAUAUAAAAAUCCAUCUUAAUUAUUACCCAAUUAACACAUAUUAAGGCACGUUAAAAGCCAGGCAUUAAAAUCAAUUUGUGAUUAUGUCUUUUUUGACUGAAAAUAUGCUUUAAUGAGUGAAUGUGGGGACAUAGGACAUUGUUUCGGGAAUGAAAAUGUGUGAAUUCCGUUGUAAAAACAGAAUUAGCGACAUGGAUAAAUGAAGCACAUGAGAAUUGUCUAUAGCCUCAGCUUAAAUGCCUCAGCUUAAAGGCUUCUAGCUAUAAUCCUUCUACAAUUUAAAGAAUACGGUAUCUAACUGUACGUACACUCAAAAGAAUCAAAUAAAUCUGCCUCCAAACACAACAGGAUGACACACAACUUCAGCGGCCACACGAUUAAUAUAAAACUGAUCAUAUUUUGUAGAUGAAAAAAUGCACAUACUUCCCUCUUCCUAUUACCACUAAAUCCAUGAUCUGUUUUCAUCUAUUCAAUCCGCCAAAUCUUUAAGUAUUUUCCCCAUUCCCCAAGCCCAUCCACAGAGCACUGUUUCACAUCCACUCAAAUGAAUAUUUUAUAGAGAUGCAAAGAUUUUCUCCUUCUCAAUGUGCAAUCAAAUGCAAUGCAAUGCAGUGCUGCAGAGAUGUUAAAGGAGAGAUAUAGAGACACAUCUAAAGGAAGAAAUCCAUUUUUCUCUGCCCUUGCAUUCAUUACAGAAUCAAUGCUCCUCUCGGGAGACUGGUUCAAAAACCCUGUUUUAUUUUGAUCUUCAGAGAAACAAAUGCUCUUGGAAGUCGCCACAGUACAUGCAUUAAAAGAUUGGCGAGGCUAGAAAUGAAUACAGUAACCCGGCUGACAUCACAUUAAGAUGUGGAAUGUUGACUGGGUCUUUAUGGACAUGUUUUUUGAAGGAAAAAGACAAGGUCAAACCAGUGGGUAAAACAAAGUGCUCUUCUACUAUAUUAUCUAUGUGUAUUCAUACAACCUGGAUAACUAAUGGUAUUAAUUUUACUGCGGAUGUAGAAAGUGCUUUGUUACAUUGAGUUACAAUUUAUUGUUGUUAUCCAUCUAGAGAAAGACUCCAAACAAACUCAUGUGAUUGGUUAAACAUAUUCACAAAAUGAGCAGAGUAGAUACAAACCAGGUACAACCCAGUUUAAAAAAAUGACAGGAUUAUAGUUCAAAUAAAUAAUACCAGUUUACAGGAAGCUAAUGCAGCAACGUAUAUCAUUUUCCUUCAAUUUGGGAGAUUUGUGUGUAUCACUGAUCUGUUCAAUUUAAUUCAAAGAAUAAUGCAAACAUUUUUCCCGCAUGACCAUUAUUUACAUAAACAGGCUUCUACUAAUCCAAUACUGAGAAAGGUAAACAUUCUUUCAGAGUCAAUGUGGCAAUAUUGGAUUUAUAGUAUCUUUGGGGGUAUAGAAUUAAGGUUAAAAGGAUGUUACACAAUACAGUUGGCCGCUGUUUCAUGGUGGAUCUCAUAUAUUCAGACAUAUUUUCAUUACAUCCCUUAGUUUCUCUGGAAGUCUGCCCUCUACAGCAUGUGAUACAUUUUGGGCCUGUUAUAUUUAUUGUCAUGUUUAAAACACUGUAAUGCUUAAGCAUUUUAAUUAGUACUCUGCACUUUAUCAUGAUCAUUGCUCAAGCUUGCCUAAUGAAGUUUGUAUGCCCCAAAUCUCCAUCAAAGGAAACUAUUAACGUGUAUGGUAAUGAAUAAGAGGCUUACAUCUUUCCCAUUCAGACCAGGAAAUAACAGCUCUACUUUGGGUUGGCCAAGCAAAAUAAACACUUAUCAAUAUUAUGUUCAGGGUUUGAGGCAUUGGCUAUCUUUUAGUGGAGACUACAGUUGCUCCACAUUCAUGUAACACAUGGUUUUGUUUUAUAAUAAAUCAUCAUGAGAUUUCACUGUCAGGUUAUGUUCUAACUUUCCUCAGCUCAAUAGUAACUGCAAGCAUGGUUCCUAUGGUUAUAGAGGGAAACUAAAAGAGACAAAUCAAAUAUGAUCCAUCCGCAUAUUCCUUUAUAAUCCUUCUCUAAUGGCUGUCUUUAAGGGCCAUGAGGGUGUGAUUGGUUAUGUAGCCUAGUCAGUUUUUUUUUUUGCAUGCAUAGCUGCCUGAGAGGCAAGUAAAUGUGAUGGUUUCAGAUUUGAUUAGGCAGCCCACGGGCCUCAGCAGUCCAGCCCUGCGACGGGCAGGCAGGGGCCUUGUACAAGCGUCUCAUUGCUCACCAUGCCUCAGUGGUGAUGUACACACCAAGUGUGACCACUGCUUGAUUUAAACAGUCCACCCUGGAUCUGAGGGUGCGCUCGAUGCAAGUUUGUAACCCAUCCAUCUAGCGAACACUGGACAUUGGUCUCACCCAAUUACUUUUGGGAUACCAUUCUAGUGCAUUUAUGUUUGGAGUAAGUGACACGCUGUUGUUAGAUUAUAUCAUUGAAAUAUGUGUACAUGAGUUUUUCUGUUAUGAAAGAAUGACUCUACUUUCUACCUUCUGUCACAAGUUCUGUAUUUCAUGUUUUACUGUAUAGAAUCAUUCAAAAUCAGGGGUGGAAUUGAAGUAAUUUGACACUGGCCAGCUGGGCUAGUAGACCACCCAUUUUUAUAUGUCCAGUCCAGAAUCUAUGUCAAGAGAUAUAUUUGAAAA